rnacentral:rRNA from 1 species
CAGUCGCCGCGGGAAUACGAGGGGGGCAAGCGUUGUUCGGAAUUAUUGGGCGUAAAGCGUGCGCAGGCGGUUAUAUAAGUCAGAUGUGAAAUCCCCGGGCUCAACCUGGGAACUGCAUUUGAGACUGUAUGGCUAGAGUGUGUCAGAGGGGGGUAGAAUUCCACGUGUAGCAGUGAAAUGCGUAGAUAUGUGGAGGAAUACCGAUGGCGAAGGUAGCCCCCUGGGAUAACACUGACGCUCACGCACGAAAGCGUGGGGAGCAAACAGGAUUAGAUACCCGCGUAGUCCCUGUCUCUUAUAC